rnacentral:rRNA from 1 species
AACGAACGCUGGCGGCAGGCCUAACACAUGCAAGUCGAGCGAGGACUUCGGUUCUAGCGGCGGACGGGUGAGUAACGCGUGGGAAUGUGCCCUUCUCUACGGAAUAGCCCUGGGAAACUGGGAGUAAUACCGUAUACGCCCUUUUGGGGAAAGAUUUAUCGGAGAAGGAUCAGCCCGCGUUGGAUUAGGUAGUUGGUGGGGUAAUGGCCUACCAAGCCGACGAUCCAUAGCUGGUUUGAGAGGAUGAUCAGCCAAACUGGGACUGAGACACGGCCCAGACUCCUAGGGGGGGCAGGAGGGGGGAAUCUUAGAAAAGGGGGGCAACCCUGAUCUACCCAUGCCGGGGGAGUGAUGAAGGCCUUAGGGUUUUAAAGCUCUUUCAGCUGGGAAGAAAAUGACGGAACCAGAAGAAGAACCCCGGGCAAACCCCU